AUACGUAGGUGACAAGCGUUAUCCGGAUUUACUGGGUGUAAAGGGCGUGUAGGCGGUUUAGCAAGUCAGAAGUGAAAUUCCCGGGCUUAACUUGGGCGCUGCUUCUGAAACUGCUUUACUUGAGUGCUGGAGAGGCUAGUGGAUUUCCUCGUGGAGCGGGGAAAUGCGCAGAUAUUAGGAGGGACACCGGUGGCGAAGGCGGCUAUCUGGACAGUAACUGACGCUGAGGCGCGAAAGCACGGGGAGCAAACAGGAUUAGAUACCCUGGUAGUCCGUGCCGUAAACGAUGAAUACUAGGUGUAGGGGGUAUCGACUCCCUCUGUGCCGCAGUUAACACAUUAAGUAUUCCACCUGGGGAGUACGGCCGCAAGGUUGAAACUCAAAGGAAUCGACGGGG
rnacentral:rRNA from 1 species